rnacentral:rRNA from 1 species
UACAUGAAGCUGGAAUCGCUAGUAAUCGCGAAUCAGAAUGUCGCGGUGAAUACGUUCCCGGGUCUUGUACACACCGCCCGUCACACCAUGGGAGUCGGAAAUGCCCGAAGUCAGUGACCCAACCGUAAGGAGGGAGCUGCCGAAGGUGGAGCCGGUAACUGGGGUGAAGUCGUAACAAGGUACC